rnacentral:rRNA from 1 species
AUUGAACGCUGGCGGCAGGCUUAACACAUGCAAGUCGAGCGGGGAAGUAUAGCUUGCUAUACGACCUAGCGGCGGACGGGUGAGUAAUGCUUAGGAAUCUGCCUAUUAGUGGGGGACAACAUUCCGAAAGGAAUGCUAAUACCGCAUACGCCCUACGGGGGAAAGCAGGGGAUCUUCGGACCUUGCGCUAAUAGAUGAGCCUAAGUCAGAUUAGCUAGUUGGUGGGGUAAAGGCCUACCAAGGCGACGAUCUGUAGCGGGUCUGAGAGGAUGAUCCGCCACACUGGGACUGAGACACGGCCCAGACUCCUACGGGAGGCAGCAGUGGGGAAUAUUGGACAAUGGGGGGAACCCUGAUCCAGCCAUGCCGCGUGUGUGAAGAAGGCCUUUUGGUUGUAAAGCACUUUAAGCGAGGAGGAGGCUACUGGUAUUAAUACUACCGAAUAGUGGACGUUACUCGCAGAAUAAGCACCGGCUAACUCUGUGCCAGCAGCCGCCGUAAGAC